CCUACGGGAGGCAGCAGUGAGGAAUAUUGGUCAAUGGACGCAAGUCUGAACCAGCCAUGCCGCGUGCAGGAAGACGGCUCUAUGAGUUGUAAACCGCUUUUGUACGAGGGUAAACGCAGAUACGUGUAUCUGUCUGAAAGUAUCGUACGAAUAAGCAUCGGCUAACUCCGUGCCAGCAGCCGCGGUAAUACGGAGGAUGCAAGCGUUAUCCGGAUUUAUUGGGUUUAAAGGGUGCGUAGGCGGUCGGAUAAGUUAGAGGUGAAAUCCCGAGGCUCAACUUCGGAAUUGCCUCUGAUACUGUUAGGCUAGAGAGUAGUUGCGGUAGGCGGAAGGUAUGGUGUAGCGGUGAAAUGCUUAGAGAUCAUACAGAACACCGAUUGCGAAGGCAGCUUACCAAGCUAAUUCUGACGUUGAGGCACGAAAGCGUGGGGAGCAAACAGGAUUAGAUACCCGAGUAGUC
rnacentral:rRNA from 1 species